AGUGGCGGACGGGUGAGUAACGCGUGAGAAUUGCCUUGGGGUCGGGGACAACCACUGGAAACGGUGGCUAAUACCGGAUAAGCCGAUUGGUGAAAGAUUUAUUGCCCGAAGAGGAGCUCGCGUCUGAUUAGCUAGUUGGUGAGGUAAGAGCUCACCAAGGCAGCGAUCAGUAGCUGGUCUGAGAGGACGAUCAGCCACACUGGGACUGAGACACGGCCCAGACUCCUACGGGAGGCAGCAGUGGGGAAUUUUCCGCAAUGGGCGAAAGCCUGACGGAGCAAGACCGCGUGAGGGAGGAAGGCUCUUGGGUUGUAAACCUCUUUUCUCAGGGAAGAAGCUCUGACGGUACCUGAGGAAUCAGCCUCGGCUAACUCCGUGCCAGCAGCCGCGGUAAUACGGAGGAGGCAAGCGUUAUCCGGAAUUAUUGGGCGUAAAGCGUCCGCAGGUGGCGAUUCAAGUCUGCUGUCAAAGCACGGGGCUUAACUCCGUAAAGGCAGUGGAAACUGAAUAGCUAGAGUGCCGUAGGGGUAGAGGGAAUUCCCGGUGUAGCGGUGAAAUGCGUAGAGAUCGGGAAGAACAUCGGUGGCGAAAGCGCUCUACUGGACGGCAACUGACACUCAGGGACGAAAGCUAGGGGAGCGAAUGGGAUUAGAUACCCC
rnacentral:rRNA from 1 species